rnacentral:lncRNA from 1 species
CUCUAUCUACUUUCAAUGUUUCUCAUAACAAUCUAUCAGGCAGACUCCCAGAAAUGAAAGCACAGUUUGGUACCUUCACAGAGGCAAGCUAUGAAGGGAAUCCACUUCUUUGUGGACUGCCUUUGGAGAAGAAAUGCUCUACUGAUUCACAGGUGACCGAUUCAUCAGCUGAAGAAGACAAUGAGAAAUGGUAUGCUAUCGAUAUGACAUGGUUUUAUGUGAGUUCUGGUUCUACAUGUGGUGUGUUGUUAUUGGGAUUCGUUGCCCUUCUUUACAUCAAUCCUUACUGGCGUAGAAGGUGGCUACACUGGGUUGAAGAUUGCAUGUUUACAUUUUAUUACUUCCUUUAUGAUUUAGUAAGAAAGCCUACUCUAUGAUCUUCCAAGCUUAUGACCUCAUUAAGAAUGCAUGAUAGAAUAAAUGCAAAGUUGUUUUUGUAUGUAUUCGUAUUUGUCUGUUUUUAUAUAAGUAUGACGAUGUAUAUGAAGGCUAGUCAUGAUAAGUGUGUUUCCCCAUCUCAUUUAUGCAAAAGAAUUUGACUAAUUAAUGGUUCGUUGCAAAGUUGACGCAUUUACAAAACUUACAUUGAUUUAUGGUAUUUCUUAAAUUUAGUAAACUUACAUUGAUCUAUGGCACCAAAAUGACUUAGAUUACUUUGCUUGUCAUGUAUUUUAUGAUAAGUAAUCACCAUUGGUUGAGUCAACAUGUGCAGCCAACUCCUCAUUUCACUAACAAAACUAAUGAUCCAUUAAACAUGAUGUCAAAACAAUGGCGUUUUUAUGGCUUAAGAAUAGAUCAAAAUGGGGUAGGGGUUUGAUAUGGAGUUUAUGGGUUGAUAACCCAAUGUAUCACACCAUGUAAUCUCGUUCUCUUUCUCCUAAGCUGAAAUGGUCAACAAAAAAAAAAGAAUUGAACAUGAGCUUCAAAGCUGAAAUGGUCAACAACACCUUCUUUCCUACAAGAUUGACCCAACGUGAUUAAAAUCUUUAGUAUUUCUAUAUAAUGUAGUUAGAGUGUGGUUUCAAUGCAUUUUCUAUUAAAAUAAAUAAAUAAAUAAAAAUAAAAAAACUUUCGAAGAUCGUAUAAUUUUAACUAUGUAAUUUUAAUUAUAUUUUGUUAUUUGCUAUUUCGAUAACUAAAAGCAGAAUUAAACAAAAAUAACUAAUUCAUAGAUCAAUAGAUAGAUUGAAAUAAUGAUAAGUGAUAUUUGAACAAUUAAAAUUUUAAAAGUUGUAUAUGCGUGUGAAUGAAAUCGGCAAAAAGAUGUAGUUUAUAAUUAAUGAAAUGCAUUGAUAUAUAAGAUAAGGCCGUUGGGUACAAGCGUAUGGGUUGACAUGUCAAAUAAAAGUCCGACCCAGUUGUGCUAUUAUGAAAUUUUUAUAAGAAUAAAUUACUGAAAUGAUACAUGUGAUUUACAAAAACUUAGUGUACAAAAUAAAAGAUAAGGAUCAAACCUGAAUUUUUUGCAAACCAUGGGUACCAUUUCAGUAACUUGUUAAAAGUGGGAAUGAAUUAACGCACUGCCUAAUAAUAAUAGUACCACAAACAAUGCGGAAUGUACACUUUCCAGAUUAUUCCAGCACUUGCUGUGGUCAAUUAACAACGGAGAUUAGAGAAGCAUUUUCAUUUACAGAACCACUACAAAAUUCAUAAAAUUCGAACCGGCCUACAUCGAUUAUUUGAGAAGAUUCAUUCUAACAAUUCUCAUGAAUCAACAAAUACACGGUGGUUAAAUAUAAUUCAAACGAAUUUAAAAGUACAAAGAUAUUUUAUGCAAAUUGAAACUUCAAUGUUUGUUCACUUUGUUGAAAAAGUCAACAAGAUGUCGCUAUGCCAUAAGUUUAUGGGAGUGUAUCAUAAAUCCAAAAGGGGCAGGUGACCAUGGAGAAUAGACUUAUGCGUGGGAAUCACCAUUUGACUUGAUGACUUACGGAGAAUUAUCAAUUAUGCAAUCAUUGACUUGAUGGUUUGUACAGAAUUAUGCAAUUCAUAUUCAUUUCAUUGCAAAUCAAGUGUUUCCCAUGUCUCAUUACAUAUCUAAGGACUAAGAAGCCGUCAUUGUUACUGUAGCAACUAAAAUGGAGUGUCGGGGUUUGAGUAAUCGGAAAUCAUGGUUAUAUUGGUCGUUGAUGUUGAUGAUUAUACAAAUUCUUAUCUUCAGGCAAACAAAAGGGGAUUGUAUAGAAGAGGAGAGAAAGGCACUUUUAGAAAUCAAAGCCUCCCAUAUGAAGUCAUAUGAUUCUGAAAAUGACCAUUUUCUCCCUACCUGGGUUGAUUAUGGCAGUGGUACCCCUGGGGAUGGUGGCGGCGACUGUUGUGAUUGGGAGAGGAUCACCUGCAACACAACCACCGGCCAUGUGACAGAGCUUUCUUUGUACUAUUUGAGAGGGACAGACGAUGACAUAAAGUUUUGGAGCAAGUUUUGGCCAUUGAAUGUUUCCUUGUUUCUACAUUUUAAAGAGUUGAGGAGUCUGAAUUUGUCAGAUGAUUUUCUUGACAAGGAGAUUAUGAAGACAGGUACAACGUGAUUAAAUAAUGCUUUAGUAUUUCUUUCCAAUAUCAUCCUUUUUGAGCAAGAAAUUAAUUCGAGUAAAUUGGCUCUAUCUAAAUUCAUGGACUCAACCUCCAACUAGCUAAUGUAUAACCGAGAAGUUGGAUAAGAUUUUUGUAUAUAAAAGACCUAACACAAGACUUUAUGUGUACUUCAGAUCCUGCAGUUAAUGCCAUAACUUAUUAUUAUUUAUCACCUGAGCCUGCAUCAAAAGACAAGGAUGCCUAUGUUAAAAAAAAAAAAAAUUCUUUUGCAGGACUAGAAAAGUUGUCGACUUUGAAGAAGUUGGAGGUUUUGGACCUCAGUUUCAAUGAUGAUAUUGAUAAUGACAUCCUUCCAUCAUUGAUGACACUCACUUCACUCAAAAUCUUGGAUCUUAGCUUCACUAGCUUGAAUGGAAACUUUCCUCUCAGUGGCAUGUUUUCACCUUUUCUCUGUUUUUAAGUUAUCAUGCACAAAUGCAUAUUUUAAAGAUAUUUACACCCUUUUUACAUGAAUUGCAGAAUUUGCAGCUUUAGAAAACCUGGAGGUGUUGGAUCUAAGCAACUGUAACUUUAAUGGUACCUUUCAUCGCUGAUAAACUAACUUGUCAUAUCAAACUAAAGCUGAUAAAUUCGACUGCUUCAAUUUCUAAGUGUAGGCGUUUCAAUAUUAAAGAAGUUGAAAUCAUUAAAUCCUGGGUACAACAGAUUUAAUGAAAGCGCUGCAACAUCUUUGAAUACACUUCCAUCACUGACAAACUUGGAUCUUAGCAACAACCCUUUUUUAGGACCAUUUCCAGCUCAAGGUACAUGCUAUAUAUGACUACAAAGUACUAUUAUAAUCUAGCAUGUGUCCUUGUACACAUUGAAUAAUUAAGGCUUCCUACUUACAACUUACAAGGAAGUGAAAAGUCUAAUGAGCCUAUGUGCAUAAUAUCUGUUUUAUGUUUUUCUUUUGUAUAUGACAGAAUUAGCUCAUCUCACUAACUUGGAGAAGUUGGAUUUAAGUUUCACCCAGCUCAAUGGCACACCAGAUAUCCAAGGUAAAUGAAGAAUUGGCUUCUCCUAGCCCUAACCCUGAUAAAGUUCUUAAACACCAAUUAAUCCUAAAUUCUUCCAUAAUUAAAAUUGUAUAUGUAAGAGUAUAAGAUCACCAUGGUUUCAGUAGCAUUUCAUUUUUUUUUCUACAGCUUGUAAGAUUUUAUCGAGACUGAAAAGGUUGGAGAGUAUAAAUCUCUCCAAUAACAAUUUCAACAAAAGCAUCGUAUCAUGCCUAAGAGCCCUCCCAUCCCUCAAGAUUCUUGAUCUUUCACAUUCUUUUCCAUUGGAUAGCUCAUUUCCCAUCCAAGGCAUGUUAAUUUUUAAAUGAUUCAUGAUCAUCACACAAACUAAAUUACUAAAUUUCAUCGGCACAAUUAUUUAUUAUUAUCCAUUUUUGCUAAUUGUUUAUAAAAUUGUUUGACACAUCUCGUUAUCCAAUAUAGAAUUCCAUGAUUUGCCUAAUUUGGAAGUCGUCCUCUUGAGAGAAAAUGGUUUUGGUGGAACACUACCAGUGGAAGGUAGGCUUUUUUUUUCUUUAAGAAUCAUUCCUUAUUUAUUUAAUUAAGAAUCAUCAGAGAGAUGAAAGGCCCUACAUCCUAUCCAACUUCAAUCAUCAAUGAUAUGAUACAUCAUCAUACAUGGCUUGUAACAAAUCCUUUUUCAUGGUUUUUAUUUAAUUAGUAACCUACUUAUCUAAUCUUCUCUUGUUGUCAUCUAGCUUUCACAUCUUUCCAACAACUCAAGGUCUUAGAUUUGAGCUGGAACCAUUUUGUUGGGAGUGUAACAUCAGAUAUACAUGCAUUAUCUUCUCUAAGAGUUGUCUCAUUCGCAUACAAUUAUCUCAAUGGCUCGUUACCAGAUCAUGGUAAGUUAUUCAAAACAUGCAUGAUUAUUGUGUUUCGGAUUGGUUAGGACAAAUUUAUACAUGCAAUGUUUUUAUAGUAUGGCUUAUAAAUUGGAGCAAGCCUUAUGUAACAUUACCUUUUUCACAUAGUUAAGCGUUCUUGUGCCGUAUGACCAUACAAGUGCAAGUUGUUAUAUAUGUUAAGGGGCGUCAUAAACCACAUUCUUUCUCUUUUGACAGGGUUGUGUGAGUUGAAGAACCUCCUUGAGUUGGAUCUUAGUGGCAACAUGCUCCAUGGAACUCUGCCUGAUUGUUUGAAAUAUCUAUCAUCUCUUAAGUUGUUGGAUAUUUCUUCAAACCAAUUCUCAGGGAUACUUAUGCCAUCGCUCAUUGCUAAUCUUACAUCUCUCGAGUAUAUUGAUUUUAGUCAUAACAUAUUUGAAGGUUCAUUCUCCUUCAGCUCCUUAUCCAAUCAUAUAAAGCUUGAGGUCGUUCGAUUCAGAGGCGAUAAUGACAAAUUUGAGGUGGAAACAGAAGAGCCUAUAGGCUGGAUUCCAAUGUUCCAGUUGGAAAUUCUUGAGCUAUCUAAUUGUAAUAUGAAUAGGUAUAAAGGGCGUGUUCUUCCAGGGUUUUUACUACACCAACACCAGUUACAAGAAGUAGACAUGUCUCACAACCACUUGGAGGGAAAAUUUCCAAAUUGGCUGAUUGAAAAUAAUACAAAUCUUGAAGUUCUUAAUCUAAGGAACAACUCCUUUACCGGUAUGUUGCUGCAUAGGAAUGCUAAUAUGCUGGAACUGGAUAUGUCUGGGAAUCGAAUGAUAGGUACUAUUCCCGAUGAUAUGCAAAAAUUCUUUCCCCACAUCCAACAUUUGAAUUUGUCCAGGAAUUCUUUAAGUGGUGCUAUCCCAUCUUCACUUGGUGAUUUGAGGGAUUUACGAGUACUGGAUUUAUCUAAUAAUGAAUUAUCUGGAGAAGUACCAAAGGGAUUGUUUACAAACAUAUCUGAGUUGUUUUUCUUAAAACUAUCAAAGAACAAGUUGCAGGGUCAGGUACUCUCAGGAAACUUAAGUUUAGGUAAAAUCCAAGAGCUCCACUUGGAUAGCAACUGUUUCACAGGUAAAAUUGCAAAUGAGCCCAGAAAAUAUAAUAAUCUGAUGAUUUUAGAUAUUAGGAACAACUUUUUUACUGGUAUGAUCCCUGGAUGGAUAAGCAACACAAGUGAGUUGUCUGAACUUGUGGUGAGAAAUAACAGUUUGGAAGGCAGGUUUCCUUGUGGACCAACUUUAUUCACUUUUCUCGAUAUCUCACAAAAUUCUUUUUCUGGUCCAAUCCCAUCUUGCUUAAACUUGCAAUAUGUGAAGCAUCUUCAUUUGGGUUCUAACAGAUUUACUGGAUCAAUACCCAAUUCCUUUCGUAAUUUGACUUAUGUUUUGACUUUAGACAUCAGUAACAAUGACUUGUCUGGAAGGAUUCCUAAAUUCCUUGGUGAACUAUCCAACUUAAGGAUUCUUCUCAUGAGAAAAAAUAAGUUUCAUGGUUCUAUUCCAAAACACUUGUGCCAAUUAUAUAAUGUAAGUUUGAUGGAUUUAUCCGACAACUCCCUUUCUGGUUCAAUACCUAACUGCCUAAAAAAUAUAACCGGGCCAAGUUACCUUGCAUUCCUUAAAAGAACCAUAUCAUGGUAUCCCAUGUCUUCCUCUUACGAUUAUAAUAGUGUUCUACAGAGGUGGCAGCCUGCCUAUGUCAAUAACCAAGGGUUUGAAACACAAGACGAAGUUGAGUUUACAACAAAAAGGCUCUUUCUCAGCUACAAGGGUGGCAUCCUUGAUUACAUGGCAGGAUUGGAUUUUUCCUGUAACAAACUUACAGGUGAAAUCCCACAACAACUGGGAUUCUUAACCCAACUUCUUGCUUUAAACCUGUCUCACAAUCACCUGACUGGACCUAUUCCUGUGAGCUUCUCAAAUCUUGCAAAAAUAGAGAGCUUGGACCUUUCUUCAAAUGGUUUGACCGGAAAAGUUCCAUCACAACUCAUUAAGCUUACAUCUCUAUCUACUUUCAAUGUUUCUCGUAACAAUCUCUCAGGCAGACUCCCAGAAAUGCAAGCACAAUUUGGUACCUUCACAGAGGCAAGCUAUGAAGGGAAUCCACUUCUUUGUGGACCACCACUCAUGAAGAAAUGCACAACUACUAAUUCACAGCUGACCAAUCCAUCAGAUGAAGAAGAAGACAAUGACAAAUGGUAUGAUAUCGACAUGACAUUUUUCUAUGGAAGUUCUGGUUCAACGUAUGCUGUGUUCUUGUUGGGCUUUGUUGCGCUUCUUUACAUCAAUCCUUAUUGGCGCAAAUGGUGGCUAGACAUGAUUGAAGACUAUAUGUUUACAUGUUAUUACUUCCUUUAUGAUUCAGUCAGCAGCUAGCUCUCCAUGCCCUUCCAUGAAUAGUUUCUCUUUAACUAAGAAUUAACGUGUGAUAGAAUAAAUGCAAAACUGCUUUGGUAUGUAUUAGUAAGUCUUUUGAUAUAUGCAUAUAUGAUGAUGCUUUUGCUUCCUUUUCUAUUAUGUUCUGGAUUUUUUUUUACAUUUAGAAUGGGGACUUCCAUCAAUUAUUGCUGAUAAUUAAAUCAAUGUCCUCCUUAUACUAUAACUGUAGGGCUGAGGUCAUGGAAUUAAGAUCAUGGUUGGUACUUGACUUCAGAACCUUUUCAAUAAACCUUUUCCAGGGCCACCAAUUAUUAACAAAAACAUGUUAACUAAGAAAACAAUUAAGUAGCAAUAUUGUUUUAGACUUUUAGCAGAUAUGGUGUUUAGUGAAGUCUAUUAAGUUAUGAUUGAGAAGUAACGACAGUUUUGUCUAUCAGUAUUACUAGAACCUUGAUCUACCAUGUUGCUUCAAUGCUUCAUAUUAAAAAAAAAAAAAAAAAAAAAAAAAAAGAUCUGGGUUCAUAUGGACCAACAGUUUAGUUGCAUAAAGAUAUCUGCUGAUGGAAUAUAUGAUUCUCACAUAACUAGUAUAAAUUACUACUACAAGAUGGGCAGCAAGGGAGUGAGGGAGAAUGAUUAAUUUGCAAUCUUAAGGCGUCUUAAUGCAAAAAUGAGUAACAGUGAUCAACCUACAGUGACAAUAACAUAAAGGAUCCAGGAAGCAUAAAACGGAGUAUAAACACCAAUGGUUGAAUCUGUACACAUAUGCAUUGGUUGUUAAGAUCUCCUUCCAUAAACUACAGUUUUGUAUAAACAUAAAACAGAGUACAAAUUAACGAUUGCAUCGUCAAAAGCAUACUAGACGUAAAUGUAAAGCUCUAAAACGAUGCUAAUAAUGAAAUCAUUCCGAUCUUGAUUUCUUCUCAUUCAAUUCGUUGUUCCUCAUCUUCCUUGUUAGUUCUAUUGUUUGUUUUCUGCCAUGCCGACUUCUGAUGGGUCUUCCGAAACCGAGAAGAAAAGCCACCGCCAAAGUCCGAUAAAAGUUGAUUUGCCUUCAUCAGCCAUCUUCUUUGCUGAUUACGAAUCUGAUAUAUCUGGAAUUCCCGUUCUAUGCCCUCCAUCUGCUCCACCAUCGGUUCUUGAUGUCAACGAAAAUGUAAUUUACCAAAAGAACGAAGUAACCAAUAGUCCAAACUUACAAAACUUAAAACUCUACUUCUUUUGUUGCAGAAAUCCCCCCUAACCAGUCGUUGGAGUCGAUAGAAGAACACACAAACACGCACAGCUUCCAUUGGUGACUCCGUUCAACUAUUGCAGGUACUUUCUGAUAUGAAAAUCAUGGUUGUCAAAAUCGCAAUAGGUAUGAAAAACGAUCCGGAUCGUAUUUGGGGUAGGAUCGCAGGUAGGAUCGUAGAUCAUAGGUAGGAUCGUAGGUAGGAUCGGGAUCCAAUCCUACCUUCCUUUGAUAUUUUUUUUUUAUUUUUUAUUUUAUUAUUUUUUUUUUGCAAAUGGAAUUUUUUUACCACUUUAUGUCUUUUACCCUUUAUCAAUCUACCAUUUAUCAUUUUUUAUUGUGACUUAUGACUAAUAUUUUGAAGUUUUUAUGACUUUUGAACGAAAAAUUAAAUGUUUGAAAUAUUUUUCAUGAUUAAAUAUUAUAAAUUAAAAUUAUAUUCUAUUUUGUGGGAUCUUAGGAUCUCGAUCCCGAUCUUGCAAACCCAAAAUCGAUCCAAGAUAGGAUCCCGAUCUUGACAACCUUGAUGAAAAUCCCCAAUUUUCUGUAGAUCUAGUGAAAAUACUUGCGACAUGCUAUAUAAAAAUCGUUGAUAUCCGUUACUAAUUAUAUAUCUCAAUGAUGUACAUAUGCAUUUAGAUUUUAGAUAUGAUAACAGUCACAUGUUUUGAUAAUUCUUACGAACUAUUAUGUUCUUUUACACGAUUAAUUAACAAAAUGAAUCAAUUCGUUACUAAUUCCAUUCCGAGAUUCGAGUUCAUUUGAAGAUUUCAGUGGUCAAAUUGGCCCAUUUUUUCCUUGGAAUCGACGAGGAUAAGUUUGGUUAUAGAUAGAAACACUUUUAUUAGAUUAUACAAAAUUUGGCAAGAUAUAUCCGUCAGCUCUUACACUCGUUCCCGAGUUUAACAAUAGAAAAGAAGAGAAAAGAAGAGAAAAGAAAAAAAAGUCAUCAGAGAAAAGAAAGGAAAGGAAAGGAAAACAAAAUUUUCUUUCGUGUUCCCGAGUUGGAGAGAAGUGGAAGGAAAGUGAAUCAUUUUUUCUUUUUUUCCAAAUCCUCCCAAAUUGGAAGGAAAGUUAGGAGGGAAAGUGAUCUUCUCAUUUCCCUCCACUUCCCUCCUUUAAUGAAACUCGGGAACACCAAUUUCUUUUAAUUUCUUCUUAUUUCCACUCAUUUUCUUUCCUUUCUCUCGUUAAGUUGAACUCGGGAACGGGGUGUUAAGUAGUAAAACCAGAAGCAUAAAUGUUAAUUUUGUAUUUCAAGAAUUACUAGGUUUUUCAAUAUGAAGGGACUCUAAUGCUAAAAAAUCUGGUUGAAAAUGUUGAAAUUUCAUGUUUUCAUGAGAAAUAGGCAAUUGCCUAAUGGAUGAAGGCAACAUCUCUCAGAAUUUUUGAUUUCUUUGAAGAACUAAUGGAUGCAUGUGUUGUUGGCAGUUGUGAUUGCUAAGAAACCAUUUAUACAUUAAUUUUUCCAAUCAAACCAUAAUAGUUUCAAACACUGUUUCCAAUUUAACCAUAUGCACAUGUCAAAUGGUUAGUUUGGAGAACUAACCGUAAAACCAGAUAUUGUAAUAGGUAUACAUGGUUAAUCUGAAAAACGUCUCAAAACUAUUAUGAAUUGAUUGGAAAAAGUAUAGCCUUUUGGUUAAACCAAAAACCUGUCUAAAAUAUAAUGUUUAUAAACACAAAAAUGUGUAAGUGCAUCAGUGCAUGUUAUUCAAAACUUAGAACUCAAUCAUGAAUGAUUAAAGAUGUAUAGCAUAUUUGAAAACAAAAAUCUUCAUUUUUUAACAUGGCAUAUAUCUUAUUGACGGUAUAAAUAACAAUAUUAUGUUCAUGAUCUUUUUUCCAGGUUGUUGAGGGAGCAAGUCUAUGUGGAGCUAAGAUGAUCAUUGGUGUUGAUGUGAAUCAAGACAAGUUUGAAAUAGGUAAUUUAAAAAGAAUCUUUAUAAAGCAUGGAAGCUUUUUUCUAUAGUUUUUUUUAUACAUUAAUUGAUCAUUCCUUUAUGUUAACAUGAAAUAAAUUCGGAUAACAUUGGGGAGAAAACCGUCAGCCAGGUAAUUAUUACAUACAAUAUAUAGGUGCCACUUAUCUUGCGUCGUUUUACUGUUCAUUUGUAGGUUUUUCUAUUUUGCACCGUUGUUUACUAUAUAAUAACCUUUGUUUGCAACUUUUAUAACAAAAGUCUCAACCUAGCCUUUUGUAGUUUAUGUUCGACGUUUCGAGAUACAUUUAGGGUAUAAUGUUUUUUACUCAAGGUUUUGUAGUUUUGUAGUUGGAAAGCCUUUUCAGUCAUUUAUUGUGUUAAUGUUUUUUUACUCCUUAUCAGGUUUUAAUUUGUUUCGAUGAGAUUUGUUGCAAUAAAGAAAUCAAUAGAAGAAUUAAACGGGUUAUAGAAAGGAUUUUAGAAUGUUGACAUGAUAAUAUGAGACAAAGGCAAUUCUAUUUUUUUUUUUAUGUAUGUGAUACGAUUCUUUAAAGGAGAUUAAAAAAUUGUGAGUUAUAUUAUCUAACAGGCCACUACAUGUCACUAAUAAAAAAAACAUCAACUAAACAAAACAUCUUCAAGCCGAGUACUAAUUUCACAAGUGAUUAGUAGAUUGAAGCACACAACAUGCAAUCUUAAUUAUAAAUGUUACCAUCUUAAUUUAAAAAAAAAUACAUUGUCUGAUCUUCUUUAGAGGUUAAUGCAACCAAAUUAAGAAAAGUACAUUGCCAUUUAGACCAUUUAUUUGAUUCCGCUUGGCGUGAGAGGUUUUAACUAGUUACAAUAAAGUCAAUGUCACUUUAAAAAAACAGCUUCAGAUUAAGCUUGGUGUACUAGCUGAAAAGCUAGCUGUUAGCCGAUAGCUGAAAAGCUAGUUGUUAAAUAAAAAGUUAGCUAACUGUUGAAAAAUAGCUGAUAAAAAUAACGUUCGGUAAAACUAGCUGAAAGAUAGAAAAUGACAUAAAAAAGCAUUUAAAAAAAUAUGUUUCUAUAAUUAAUUAAAGGGUAUAUUUGGAAAUUUUUUAAAAAGCUCCUAAAAAGCUUGUAUGAGUAGUUUUUUUUAAAAUGUAGCUUAUAAACUAGCUUAUAAGCUACUUUUUGGUUUGUCAAACAUAACAAUUUAAAAAAGCUCAAAAAAUAAGCUUAGCUUAUUAGCUAGUUGUGGCGUGUCAAACACAACUUUAAUAUCUCAUUUUUUAAAAGUAUAUAUCUCAUUGAAUAUACAAUAAAAAAAUGCAUGUAAAGUUGUAAACUAUGUAAAUAGUAAUUUAAAUUGUGAACUACAAUUCGGACAAAAACUAACGAAUGCACUGUGAUAGUUUAAAGUUGCCCUAAAAUUCUGCAAAGAUGUUGAAACAGAAAACCAAUACCCCCUAUUUAGGGGUAUGUAUCUCAUUGAAUACAUAACCAAAAAAUGCAUAUAAACUAUGUAAACAACAGUUUAAAUUAUGAAUUACAAGCUGGAAAAAAAAUCAAACAAACCGGACAAAUAACAAAGGUGCUAUGACAGUUCAAAGUUGUCUUAAAAAUUAUGACUUUUUAAUAUCCGGUUCGGUUCGGGUUUUUGGUCCAAACGCUCAUCCCAACAUUUUUUUUAUUACCGUUUGACCAUUUUAGUUAUUUUCUGUUGGAUCUUGCUUCAAAUCAUUCACAAGGAUACUUGUGUCAUCACUCACUGCAAAUCUCACGUCUCUCAAGUACAUUGAUUUUAGUCAUAACACGUUUUCGCCUAUGAUGCACGGAAACUUCAACUUGGUCGCCGUUCCCGUAUUCGAUACUCCAUGGAAACGGAUACUCCAUGGAAACGCCUAGGAAACGUUUCCAUGACGCAUCGGGUAAACACGAUACGUUUCUGUGCAGUAUCCUCCAAGUUUCCGACAAGUUUCCACCAAGUUUCGAUUUUUCUUUAGGGUUUUCAUGGGCCAUUUCAAUCCAACAAAGUCUAAUGGGCUAUAUUAAUCGACUCUUAACUUAAUACCCUACAAGGCAAAGCCAAUCGUCCCUCAAGUCUGUCUACUACCUCAUCAAUCAGACGAUCACUCAUCACAUUGAUCGCCAAACAGAAAUUAGCAAACCUGCAAACCAUUCACGGAUUCACCAAUUAAGAAAUCACUAAUCAGACACUAAUUUACAUAUAUUGGGANNNNNNNNNNNUUAAAUAUAUAUACAUAUAUAUAUAUAUAUAUAUAUAUAUAUAUAUAUAUAUAUAUAUAUGUUUUUCAUAUAUUGUCGUAUAUCUGUCGUAUCCAUAUCUUGAAUUUUUGAGUUUUGUCAUUUCCGGUUUCCAUUCCGUAUCCGUUUCCUGUUGCCAUAUCCGUUUUCGUGAAACUUAGGUUUUCACUCGACUCCUCCAAUCAUUCAUAGCUUGAGCUAAUUCUAUUUUCAAGUGACAAUGAUAAAUUUGAGGUGGAAAUCGAAGAGCCUACAGAUUGGAUUCCAGUGUUCCAUUUGGAAAUUCUUGAGCUAUCUAAUUGUAAUAUGAAAAUGCGUCCUGGGUUUCUACUUGUUGGCACAAGUUACGGGAACUAGACAUGUCUUACAACUCCAUGGGGGGACACUUUCCAAAUUGGUUGAUUUAAAACAAUAUGAAUUUGAAACUUCUUAAUCUAAGGAACAACUCCUUUAGCGAUAUACCACUGUAUAGGAAUGCCAAUAUAAAGUGGUUGGAUAUGUAUGGAAAUCACUUGAUAGGUACUAUUCCCAACCAAGUACCAAAGUUCUUUCCCCACACUAGAUCUAUCUGACAAUGAGUUAUCAAGAGAAGUACCAAACGAAUUUUUUGCUAACCUCUCUCAGUUGAGGAUAUUAAGACUAUCAAAGAACAAAUUCCACGGUCACAUACUUUCAGGAAGACAAUGAGAAAUGGUACGAUAUCGAUAUGACAUGUUUCUAUGGAAGUUGUAGUUCCACAUAUACUAUGUUGUGUUCUUAUUGGGAGUUGUUGCACUUCUUUACAUCAAUAUUGAUCCUCACUGGAGGAGGAGGUGGCUAGACUGGGUUGAAGCGUGUAUGUUUACAUGUUAUUACUUCCUUAUGAUUUAGUAAAGAAGCUCUCCAUUCCAUCCCAUAAGUAGGAUAUCCUUAAGAAUAUGUGUGACACAAUAAAUGCAAACUUGCUUUCAUAAGCAAGAAUAUUUAUCUGCUUUUUUAUAUAUGUACAGCGAUGUUUCUGCUUCACUUUCUGCUAUGUUUCUCCUGUGUACAUGACUUUUCUGCUAUGUUUCACUCUUCCAUGAGUUGAACCUUAAUUAUGUAAGAUACUGUUACACUUCUUAGCAGUUGAGAAGGAGUUGACUAUAUAUUGGCCAUACCUAUGUUUGACUUCUUAGUUGACAUCCUUAAGUGUUUUGUAAUAAAGGUCCUAGCUGGGGGUAUUCUGGUAAUUUCUCAGUUAGAUCAGUUAUUAGCUGAGUAUAAAUAAGAGGUCCUGUGUAAUUAGUCAUUAGCUAUUGUUUUGUUGAGUUAGAAGUCAGUUCUUGGGAGAGACUACCUUCUCCAAAGGUAGAAUCAUGUGUAAUCAUUCAGCUACAAGUUCCUAAUUCCAUUUUAUACUUGAUUCCAUUCCAUUCUAUGCUAAAUCCAACCUAGAUUAUAUCAGGUACAUAUUAUUAACUUUAAGCAAUAAAAAACCAAAAAAAGACUCGAUGAGCAUCAUGUUUCUUGCACAAGAUAAAACUAAGAACAGAAUCAACAAGGUGUUAAAAGAAAGUGGAUUUUAAAGAAAAGGAAGUUCAUAAAUCCGCCUGCAAUUUCACUUUUAAUUACACAAUCUAACCAAAAAAAAAACUAAUCACAAAAUUAGUAAAUCAAGAACAAACCUGAAUCUCUGCAUAAGGGUAUUAUUCACAGUAGCCCCUCCAUCCAAUGGGUUGGAAUAAAAUGAUCAUCUCUCUUGCAAAAUUCGAGAAGUCAGACAAUGCAUAGCCUCUGUUCGAUGAAAUGCCUCAAAGAAGCUUUAUUUCUUGAAAUAACGUGAUAAGGGGUUAUGUAAAAACAUGGAAUUCUGGAUCAAUCCGUUUGAUAAGGAUUAUGUGAGUGUAUAACCAAUUCUGGAUCAAUCCGUUUGAUAAGGAAAUAAUAAUAACUUUAACUACAAUUAAUUAUGGAAAUAUAUUAAAUCAAUUAUUAAACCCUUAAAAAAGGGUUAUCAGUUUCAAACCCUUAUUAACGCAUCGUCAUCUUCAUCCUACAUAAAACCAUCACUGAAACCCAUUACCAGGUUCAUCAUUGUCGCUAGGACCCUAACCCUCGCAAACAUAUGAUUCUAGUAGAUGCCUAGCUAAUUUCCGCUUCUCAUAAUGGAGUUUUUUGACAUUAAAAGCAAGCUUACGUGAGAACAUGUUGGUGAUUUGUUAUCAUCAAUGUUAUUUAAGUGUAAUAGGAUUACUUGUUUGACUAAAAAUGAUCUUGAUAAAUAUUAAACAAGUAAGGAAGGUGUGGAGUACACGCUUGUUUAAGUUUGAUCAAGUAUCAAAGUACACUGUCAUUUAAGGGCGAAACCCCUGAACGAACGGGGGUCCGGGGCAGCGCCCCUGGGAGCGGGGUCCAAGGGGCGGCAGCCCCUGGCGAGGUCCAAGGGGCAGAGCCCCUGGCUGGGAUCGAGCUGGUUUUGACUUUGCAUUAAUCCUUAUACCAAACCCGGAUUUAUAACAGUUUUGACUGUUGAGAAAAACUGUUAUAUGACAGUUUUGACAGUUUUCAGACAAGGAAUGUAUAUAACCAAUUUUUAGUCAGUUUUCUGGUACUCACGAAAAUUACACCAUCUCAUUCUCUCUUUCUUUCUCUUUGAUUUUAUCUGAGUCUUAUCCAAUUGAGAAUUUGGGAGUACCACCCAAAUACUUCGAUUUGAAAGUGAUUAUCACGAUUCUCAGAUUUCCAAGUGCCACUAAACCAUAUUUCUAACAGAACACAAAUCAAAUUGUUUCCACAACCUCCGAUAACGGUGAUGGAGUCUCCAUCGUUAUUGUAGUUCUUCUAUCCAUUGGUUUUGUUGGCUUGUCAAGUCUCAUUAUUAGGGUAAUAUAUUGUAAACCACGUUAGAUUAUGAGUAUUCAUAUGUAAAUUCACAAGUUUUAUCAUAUUUUUUUAAUAUUUGUUGGUUUAGAUUUAAAGUCAUAAGGGAUGAUUUUAAUUACAAAUUAUCACAAUGUUGAAUUUUCAGAAAAGAAAUGGUCGGUGGAACUUCUGAGGUGAAACACAUUAUUUUUCUACUAUCAAAUUUAGUAUCUGUUCUUGAAGUUAUUCAUAAAUUUAUAAAGUUAGUAAACCUCGUCUAGAAUGAUAACAUGAAUUUGAAAAUGUAGGUCUAAACUCUAAUCCACAACAAAUAUGUUAUCAAUUUCCAAUUUUUAAAGAUGACAUGAAUGACUUUAAAAGUCAAAGUGUAUAUUCUUUAGUGGUUUGAAAACAUUUUUUUUGAGAAGCUUUAAUAAUCACAGUAGCAUUUUCAAUAAAUUAUCCCAAUUAGAAAAGUGUGGACAAAAUGUGUAACUAAUGAAUGUAAUUACAUGUUUGUUACAAUUUAAACUACAUGUUUAUAAAGAAUCAAAAUUAUUAAAGAAAUAACUCUGAUAUGGAUAAAAGAAGGUUAAUUUGUUAGCAUUUUUUUUAAUUUUAUGAUAAAUAACCGAAUAUUAUGCAAUAAAAAAAGUUUAUUUCUCAAUAUUCUUGGAGAAUUUGCUUAUUUUUGUUUCAAAGUAGUUGUGAUUCUUAUUAUUGUUUUAAUUUUUUGUAAGUAUGAAAGAAAAAAUAUUAUAUAAAUUGAUGUUCAAUACUUUUGCAGAUUGAUGUUAGAAUAAAACAAAAAAUCAUUAAACAAAAGAAAUCUCUUUUGAUUCUUAAAGAAUGAAUUAUUACUCUUAAAGAAUUACCAAUGGUUGAUGGUGGUGGUUUGCAAUGAUGAAGUAUUGAUAAUGGUGUUUUUAUGCAAGUAGAUGGAGGAGAGGAUGGUGAUGCAUGUGGUAAUCGAUAUCGAUUGGAGAAAUAACCAUCAACACCCUCUUGCUUGAACAAUGAAACAACCGACAAGCGAACACCACAGACAAAACACAAACUAUAUUCAUCACCAACUUUUGAAUAUAUUCUUUCAGAAUUGUUAUUCUUUUAUAAAUUGUAUUCUUUCAGAAUGCAAUUUAAUCUUUAAGAGUAUAUCAUAUUCCUUUCAAGAAUGUUUCGUAUUCCUUUUCAAGAAUGUAUUUUAUUCUUUCAACAAUAUUCUUAGCAUCAGUUUCUUUUUAAUUCUUACAAAAUGUACUUGUAUCAUAUUUUGAGAAUGUAUGCAAUUUAGUUUUAUUUUUUAAGAAUGUUCGUGGUUUAUGAAAUGAUAUACAAGUCUCAAGUUCUCUAUUCUUUCAUUUGUAAUUUUUAAUAAUAAUUAUUAUUAUUUUCAUACAAAUCGUUAUUCUUCAAGAUAUGCAUUCAUAUUCUUUAAGAAUGUUGAUUCUAAAAGAAAAUCUUGAAUGAAACUGGAAUUUUUUUUGGACGCACAGAAUGAAAAUCAUAUUCCUAAAAAUCUUGUUUAAUUUGAAUAUGUUGAAUAAAAUCCAACAUUUCAUUUAAUUUUUCUUAACUAGUUUGAAUUAGUUGCCUAAAAUAUAUAUAAUCUUAAAUUUCUCUCUCUUAAUAAAUGUUAUAUUUUUCCAUUUAAUUAAUUAAGUCAAAUUAUAUAGUAAAUGCUAGUACAUGAUAAUAUCAUGUAUCCUUGGAUCAAAACCUUUUAUUUUUUCUCAUCUAAUGGUUACAAUUUGGUCACACAUUCACAUGAUAUUUGUGAUUUAUAUUUGAUCCUAACCCUANUUGAUCUUGAAUUGAUGAAUUAUGUAGAAUUAUGCUAUUAAUUAAUAUUCAAAACAUACCCGGUUUAGCACAUAUAAAAUGUUUUACAUGCUUCAUUACAUAUAUGUUCAUAUACCAAGCAAAGUAAAUCAAACCAGAAGUUUAAGAUUGUGAGUGUUUCAAAAAAAAGUCUUCAUUAGCUUACUAAAAUGGAGUGUUGGUGUUUGAGUAAGCGCAAACCAUGGUUAUAUUGGUUGUUGAUGAUACAUAUGCUUAUGGUGGUCUGGAAAAUACAAGGGGAUUGUAUAGAAGAGGAGAGAAAGGAACUACCGGAAAUAAAAGCCUCCCAUAUAAAGUCAUAUGAUUUUGAAAUUGACGAUUUUCUCCCAACCUGGGUUGAUUAUGGCAGUAGUUCUCCCGAGGAUGGUGGUCGAAACUGCUGUGACUGGGAGAGGGUCAGCUGCAACACAACUACCGGGCAUGUAACAGAGCUUUACUUGUACAAUUUAAGAGGAUUAGAUGCUUACUGGUAUGAAGUGAGAGCAGGUUGUGGCCAUUUAAUGUUUCCUUGUUUCCUCAUUUUAAAGAGUUGACAAGUCUCAAUUUAUCACAGAAUUCUCUUGAUAAAGAGUUCAUGAAGACAGGUACAAUGUAUUUAACUUCUUUUGUAUUUCUUUAACCCCGUUCCAACAUCAUUUUUUUUAGCAAGACAUUCGAGUAAAUUAAUCGAAUCGGUUCAAAUUAGUGGACACAAAAUCCAACUAGUUUAUGCAUUCAAAGAUAUACUGAUUGUUUGAUUCUACCCAAAAGGUUCACUUUCAAUAAGAAAAGACUAGGAUGCCUAUGUUAAAAAAUUCUUUUUCAUUUGCAGGACUAGAAAAGUUUUCGAGUUUGAAGAAGUUGGAGGUACUAGACCUCAGUAUGAAUUAUGAUAUUGAUAACGACAUCCUUCCAUCAUUGAGGACACUCACUUCACUAAAAAUCUUGGAUCAUCAAAGUAAAACUGUAAAACAAAUUUUACUUUGAGUUUGUUAUUCACUAUCUUCAUGACCAUGGUUUCUUUUAUAAUAACUACCUUCCUUUUUACAGCUUGUAAGAGCUUAUCGAGAUUGAAAAGGCUCGAGAAUAUAAAUCUCUCCUAUAAAAAUUUCAACAAGAGCAUCAUAUCAUGCCUAAGGGCCCUUCAUCCCUCAAGAUUCUUGAUCUAUCCUAUUCAAUUUCACUGGGAAUUUCCUUUCCUGUCCAAGGCAUGUUUAUUUCAAAUUAGUCAUCAUUAAACAAACUAAAAUACUAAAUUCCAUCGUCAUUAUUAUUUAUUAAUUUCUAUUUCUUGCUAAUUGUUUAACACGUCUUUGAAUUUCAAAGUUUCACGAUUUGCCUCAUUUGAAAGUCCUCCUCUUGAAAGGUUGUAAUUUCAGUGGAACACUACCAAUGGAAGGUAGCAGUGUGUUUUCGAUUCCUUAAUUUACAGCAUUAUUAUUAGUGUAAGAAAAUUGGUCAAGUACUUACCAACUCAUUAGAAAGAUUAAAGGCCCCACAAAUUAUCAAGCCUGAACCAUCAAUGAUAUAUACGUUACUUGUAACACAUCCUUUUUCAGGACUUUUGCUUAGUAACCAACAUAUGUAACCCUCUCUUGUUGUCAUCCAGGGUUUGCAUCUUUCCACCAUCUUGAGGUCUUGGAUUUGAGUUACAACAGUUUUGUUGGGAGCAUCCCUUUAGCAAUACAUGCAAUAUCAUCCCUAAGAGCGCUCUCCUUCGCUAACAAUGAACUCAACGACUCAUUACCCGAUCAAUGUAAGUUAUCUAAAAUGUGCAAAAUUAAGUGUCUGGGAUUGCUUAGAACAAAUGUAUAAAUGCAAUGUUUUUAUAAUACAGCUAACCUUCGGUAACAUUACCUUUCCAUAUGACUAUGCAUGCGCAAGUUAUAUUUAUUUCUUGUGCGGUGAACCACAUUCUUUCUCUUUUGGCAGGGUUGUGUGAGUUGAAGAACCUCCAUGAGUUGGAUCUUAGAAACAACAUGUUUGACGGGAUUCUGCUUCAAUGUUUCAACAAUCUAUCUUCUCUUGAGUUGCUUGAUAUUUCCUUAAAUCGAUUCACUAGGAUACUUCCACCAUCACUCAUAGCUAAUCUCACAUCUCUCAAGUACAUUGAUUUUAGUCAUAACAAAUUUGAAGGUCCGUUCUUGUUCAGUUCAUUCUCCAAUCAUACAAAGCUUAUUGUAGUUGGAUUAAGAAGCGACAAUGACAAAUUUGAGGUGGAAACAGAAGAGCCUAUAGAUUGGAUUCCAGAGUUCCAGUUGGAAGUUCUUGAACUAUCUAAUUGCAAUAUCAACGGGCAUAAAGGACAUGUUGUUCCUGGGUUUCUAGUUCACAAACACAAGUUACGAGUAGUAAACAUGAAUGACAACUCCUUGAAGGGACACUUUCCAAAUUGGUUGAUUAAAAAUAGUACGAACCUUGAAGUUCUUCUUCUAAGGAACAACUCCUUUGGUGGUAUGCCAUUGUAUAGGAGUGUCAAUCUGCUGGAGUUGGAUAUUUCGGGAAAUCACAUGACAGGUGCUAUUCCAGACAAGACACCAAAGUUCUUUCCAAACAUAAGUUGUUUGGAUUUUUCCAGGAAUGCUUUAAGUGGUGCUAUCCCGUCUUCCAUUGGUGAUUUGAGCGAAUUAUCGGUAUUGGAUUUAUCUGAUAAUAAGUUAUCAGGAGAAGUACCAAAUGGGUUAUUUACAAACGUCUCUCAUUUGAGGAUAUUGAGACUAUCAAUGAACAAAUUGCAUGGCCAGGUACUCUCAGGAAACUUAAGCAUGCGUGACAUUGAAAGGGUUCACCUAGAUAACAACUAUUUCACAGGGGAAAUUGGAACUAAAAGCAUGGAAAAACUUGAACGUCUGUCUGUUCUUGAUAUUAGCAAUAACUUUUUCACAGGUAUGAUACCUGAUUGGAUAAGCAGCAUGAGUUACUUAUCCGAACUUGUGGUUAGAAAUAAUAGUUUUGAAGGUCAGUUUCCUUAUGGAUCCACUCCUUCCUCAUUUCUUGAUAUCUCACAAAAUUCUUUCUUUGGCCCAAUCCCAUCCUGCUUAAAUUUGCAAAAAAAUGAAGCAUCUUCAUUUGGGUGGCUAGACUCCGUUGAAGAUUGUAUGUUUACGUGUUAUUACUUCCUUUGUGAUUCAGUAAGGAAGCCUUAUAUGAUUUUCUGCAAGUAGGACUUGUUUGUUGAGAAAUUAUGGUACAAUAAAUGUGAAUUUGCUUUUGAUUUACAUACGAUUAUACGAAGAUGUACAAGAAGAGCAUAGUGAUUUCAAGUAAUCUUGGAUCCAAUUUAUGCACAAGGGUUUGAUCUACGCGAGAUAGCAAAGUUGAACUUGUUGCUUAGAAUCUAUUAGGAAAUAAAAUUUGUAUUGCCUUCCUGCAUGAUGCAUUUAAUAACCUCUUCCCUAUGUCCAGGAAAUGAAAUAUUCCUAAGCUAUAAAAUUUUCAAGUAUAGAUUAACACUUAUGGUUAUUGUUUUGAAUAUGUUCUACUAAAUUCUUCACCAUUUUUGUUUAUGUACCGGUACUAUUGAUGACCAAUAUAGUCAUAGGGAAUGCAUGUCACCCAUACAUAUAGUUGAGGGGUUUAAGUAUGAUGGAAAAAACACAGCCACAAUGGUAAAUAAUAAUGCGGAAUACAACUUCGUUUAACUAAACUUUUUCCGUGUUGAAUGUAUAAUCACAAAAGAAUCGAUGCCUUUCAUUGAUAAAGGAGGGAAUUAAAUACCCACUAUACAGAGUGAUUAUAGGAGGAAAUUGGGGAAAAUCUAGGCUAAAUAAGGAAGAAGUAAUCUACAUUAAUUACACAGUAAAUAUAAGAUCGGGAAUAUACAGAAGGUAUAUAUUUUGGUUAAUAGAAUGAACCUUUGAGGAUUCAAACAAAUAGAGUAUUUUCACUUGCAACAAAACAACCCCAAUGAAAGUUAUAUGAUCAAUAGAAUCAACCCAAAACCGUGAAGGAUAUUUGGGUCCAAAAGAUGCAGAAAAAUAGAUAGUUGAAAUUCAAUUGAUUAGGAUAGUUCUGAUUCUGUAAUUGACUCACAAGUUAUGCAUAUUAAUCUAAACAUUAGGUUAUGACAUAUUUUAUCUAAGUAGGUACUUGUAAAUGUUCAUUUCUAAACAACACGCAUUCACCAAGUUAUUAAAUCCAAUGGUAAGCCCUAUGAAAAUAACCUAACUUUUAUAGUUUACACCCAAAGUAAGCAUCAAGGUAGUAACCUGAGAGGUUGCAUAGAUUUCUAUGUGAAUGUUCCCAAACAACACCCAAAUUUCUCAUUAUGUUGGAAGCGUAAGAAUGUGCAAGUUCUAGUUUACAUUACAAUUGUUUUCUAUUAUUCAAGAUUGGAGGUCAAGUCGAUCAAGGUUGGGUGUCAAAUCAACAAAAACAUAAAUAAAUUUAAUUUUUGUUACUUAGUAACGAUUUAUAAAACAAUUACGGAUUUUAUAAAAUAGAAUAACAAGAAUGAUAAUAAUCCUAGUUCUAGUGAUCAACAUGAACUAAAACUUCAUCAAAGAUUAGUUAAAAGAAAAACUGAAAUUACCAGACAAAGAUAUGAACAUAACAUCAAAUCAUAUGAUUAAAAGCACAACAUGGUAUUGUCUUUGCAGAAUCGGAAGUAAGUUCUAGCCAAGCAUGACUAGAAACAUAGAAAUCACAAUUAAAAGAUAAAAAUAAAACUUACAAAAACUGGAAAUAAAUGUUCUAAGUGACCUUCAAAUGGUGGAAGAAUAUGAGAUAUUCAAGGGAUAUCCCUGGAAUAGAGUGUUUCCAGGAGAUCAAGUAUGUGUAAAACCUCGUUCCUUGUGUAUGGAACGAUCAUCUCUAUUUAUAGUAGAUGUAGUUCAAAUAUUAAAUUGAUAAGUAAAUCAAGAAAGCAUUUGGAACAUCAUAUGAAUCAGCUAGGAAAUCACAUAAGAUCUGCUGGAAAGGGGAUUGGGAAUAAAAUAAAGUCGGUGCGGAAGAGUGAGUUGGAACUGCACGUGGGUUGGACACGGGGUCGUGUCACUUUUGCCUUGUGUGACACCGGUCGUGUCACUUUUGCCUUGCUAUUUUUGGGAGUGACGACAAUUUGUGUAAGGUAAUAAGAAACAGUUGUUUGUAGUUGGAAAUCCUUUUUUAUAAUUUUUUUUAUAAAUGGAUGGGGAAAUAGUGAUAUAAGAUGGCUUUUAUUUAUAUAUAGGUUUGGGACAGAAGAUGCUUGAGAUCAAAAGGAAAACCUGCUGGAAUCCUGAUGGGGCAUCUGGAAGGAAUUACAUUUUUUAUCAACCAUGGAGAUGGUCGGUAUUUCAUUUUAUAUAUAUUCGGUUAUAAUUAAAUGGUAAUUGCACUUUAGAUUAUAUGAUUCGAUUAGAAUUUGUUUUUUUUUUUGUUUUUUUUUUGUUUUCUUUUUUUUUUUUUUUUUUCGCUUUUUUUAAUAGAUGUUUUUCUCGAUAUGCCACUUAUUCUGACAGAACAUGAUAUCAUGACAAUUAUUCUCAUAAUAUGAUUUCAUGAUUCGGGGAAUACUUGAUCAAGUGACUUAAAUAUUACAUUAUGUUAGAAUAAAUUAAAAAUCUUUAAUGUCUAACAUAUUCUAUUAUAAUUUAUAGUUGAUUCUUUUAAAAUAUACUGAAAGUUAUAAAAUUUUAAAUUUAAUCUUUUUUUUUAUUUAGGUUUUGAAGGGGCUAUCAUUGAUGUGGAAAAUGAAGAAAACAAAGAAAACGAGAGUAUUCUAGCAGAAUGUAGUUAUUUUUUAAGAAUUUUAUUCAUUUUUGUUGAUAUACUUUUGGAAUAUGUAUAAUUAUAUUAAAAUGUAUAAGACUUUUAGGUUGUAAGAAUAUGUAUGGAUUUGUAUUUAAGUUCGACGUAUAAGAAUAUAUUAGAAUGUUGUUAUUUUUUAACCUCAGAUUCAAUAAUUUUGUUAUUUUUCAAUAGUAUCUAAUAGAAUAAAAUUUUGAAAGAACAUCAUUCUAACAAAAAAAAAUAUUCUGACAGAAUAAAAUCGAUUAUUUUUACAGAUUAGGUUAGGAUUAAAAUUGAAUUAAUUAAAAAAAAGUCAGAUUUUUAAAAUUAGGAGAAUUAAUUAUCCCUAAAAAUCCAAAAUUUUCCUUUUAUAAUUGUAGUUAAUUGUCCAAAAUACCCUUUUGCUAAAAUUUGUAUGAUUAUAUGGUACAGGUUAUCUCAUUGUAAUAUCAUAGACCCUCAGAUCUUGACUUUUGAUUAUAUUUCAUCCGAUUGUCCAGAUCUGUGAAUUCUGGCAUGUAAUAAUUACUAGAAACAAAAUAAUCUAAAUAUAUAUAUAUAUAUANNNNNNNNNNNNNNNNNNNNNNNNNNNNNNNNNNNNNNNNNNNNNNNNNNNNNNNNNNNNNNNNNNNNNNNUAUAUAUAUAAACAAGUUUUAAACGAAUUUGUAAAAAAAAAAAAAUAAAAGAUCUAGACCAUAUUCAUAACAAAGUUUAAGUUGGAAAAAAUUAGCAAUAAAAUUUAAUAUGUCAAACUAAACAUAAAUAGUAACGAACUUUGAAGAUGUGCUAUUGGGCUAAUGUUUUGGAUCUUGGAACAAUUAGACCCAACGCAACUCAGAGCCCAUGUCGGGAGUUGGAAUUCAAGCCUAAAUCAUUGGAAAUUUGAAAAUCGCUGGGUCCAAUAUCGGUGGUAAACUGGUAAUUUACCCACAGAAACACCUUUCGAGUUUGCAUAACGGAUCAUGAAAAAGGAGAACUGCCAAAAGCUUCUGUUGAGAUGUAAGAAAUCAAAAGAGAUAGCGGGUGACUAUUGAAUAGAUGGAAUAGAGUUAUGUGUUUGAAUUUUGACGAUUGACUUAUGACUUGUCGAUGGAAAUUAUUGAACAUGGACUUGAUGAAUUACGACUUAUGGAGAAGUAUCAUACAUAUUCAUUUCAUCUCAUGAUAAAUGUUCUCCAUGCCUCAUUACAUAUCUGUUCAUAUACCCAUCCAAACCAAACCAGAAGUUUAAUAUAUUGAGUGUCUCUAUAAGGCCAUCAUUAGCUGCAAAAAUGGAGCGUUGGCUUUUGAGUAAGCGUAAAUCAUGGUUAUAUUGGUGGUUGAUAUUGAUGAUGAGAACUAUUCAAAUGGUCGGGCAAACACAAGGAGAUUGUAUAAUAGAGGAGAGAAUGGCACUACUCGAAAUCAAGGCCUCCCAUAUGAAGUCAUGUGAUUCUGAAAUUGACGAUUUUCUCCCUACUUGGGUUGACUAUGGCAGUAGUACCCCUGCGGAUGGUGGCAGCGACUGUUGUAAGGGGGGCGGGCCCUUGGCGGGUGUCCCAAAUUCAGUUGAACUUAUUGAAUUUCGGAGGGUUCAAAUGUAAUUUCGUGUGGUUAUAAACUGAUAACUUCCUUAUCCAAAUUCAGUUGAAUUUUGAAUUCUGAGAGAUAUGAGAACGCUCUCUCUGGUCAUUGAAGAAUCUAGUGAUUAUAUUUUGUCUGUUUACCCUAUUUCUAACACCUUCAAGAUUCUUUGAAAUUUGAAAAAAUGUUUAAUGGGCAAUUUUUUUCUAUGAGAAUGGAGACUUGGAAGUUCGUUGCAAAAGUCAACAAAUGUCGUGUCAUAAGUUUUUGGGACAAGUUGAAGGAGUGGGUGCCAAUGGAAUAGAUGUAAUAGAGUUAUAGUUAUGUGUAGCAAUUUUGACCAUUGACUUGAUGACUUGAGGUAAAUAAUGCAAUUAAUAUUCAUACACAUUGACUCCGUUACGUAUCAAAUGUUUAUCAUGCCUCAUUACAUAUUUGUUCAUAUACCAAGCAAACCAAACCAAAUGAUUAAAACAGAAAGUUUAAUUAAUAUUGUGAGUGUCUCUACAAAUUAAGCCAUCAUUAGCUACCAAAAUGGACUGUUGGGCUUUGAGUAAGCGUAACUCAUGGUUAUAUUUGUCGUCGAUGAUACAUAUUCUUAUGAUCUGGAAAGCACAAGGAGAUUGUAUAGAAGAGGAGAGAAAGGCACUACUUGACAUCAAAGCCUCCCAUAUCAACUUAUAUGAUUCCAAAAUGGAUCAUUUUCUUCCCACCUGGGUUGAUUAUGGCAGCAGUACCCCUGGGGAUGGUGGCGGCAACUGUUGUGAUUGGCAGAGGGUCAACUGCAACACAACCACCGGACAUGUCACAGAGCUUUCUUUGUUCAAUUUGAGAGAGAGAGACGUUUACAGGGAUCAAUUCGAGCGCAAGUUGUGGCCAUUGAAUGUUUCCUUGUUUCUUCAUUUUAAAGAGUUGACAAGUCUCAAUUUGUCAUAUAAUUUUCUUGAUAAAGAAAUUAUAAAGACAGGUACAACGUGAUUAUUGCUUUAGUAUUAUUUCUUUCACAUGGUCCCAACAUCAUACUUUUGAGCAAGACAUUCCAGUAAGUUGACUAUCCAAAUUCAUGAACAACAUCCAACUAAUUUAUGCACUCAUAGAUGCUUGUCAGGUAACUUAGUAGUUGGAUAAUGUUUUUCUAUAAACAAAAAACCAAACACAAGACUUUAUUUGUACUUUCAGAUCCUGCAAUUCAUGCCAUAACUUGUUAUUAUUAAUCAACUGAGCCUGAGAGUUACCCUUUUAAUCUCAAAAGACUAGGAUGCCUACGUUAAAAGCUUUUCUCUUUAAUUUGCAGGACUUGAAAGGUUGUCGAGUCUGAAGAAAUUGGAGGAACUAGACCUCAGCAGGAAUGAUGAUAUUGACAACGACAUCCUUCCAUCUUUGACCACACUUACUUCACUCAAAAUCUUGAAUCUUAGCUACACUAGCUUGAAUGGAAACCUCCCUAUCAGUGGCACGUUUUCAUCUUUUUUUAGGUUAUUAUACACAAAUGCAUAUUAUAGAGAAACUUACACCCUUUUCAAACAAAUUGCAGAAUUUGCAGCUUUAGAGAACUUGGAGAUGUUGGAUCUAAGCAAUUGUCAAUUCAAUGGUACCUUGGAGAUUCAAGGUAAUCAAUAUCAUCUUAAUUAAACCCAUCAUGCCAGUAUAGUCACGUAAAGUGGCAAGCACAAAAAAAAAAUUCUAUUAAAAAAAAAUCUUUUUUUAUUUAUCCAAAUUCAAUCCUAUUUCUAUGUAAAAAAUUUCAAUCUGUUGGGGGCAUCUCCCUCCAUUCUCUUAUACUUGCGUCGACCACUAGCCACCAUGGAUUCAUACACAAAUCCCUCUUUUGCAACGUUACAAGACCAUAAGAGAAUGACUCUUCCAUGUGUUGGAGUUUGAAAUAUGGCCCUUUUCUUUUCUUGGGUCAAAGUAAGGAGGACUUACCUUUUUCAAUGAAUGAAUAACAAUAUUAAAAAUGGAUAUAAGUAUAUACUUGUAUGUGCUCUCCUAAACAACUUUGUUGUGUAUCAAAUUAGAGCUUACAAAUCCAUUUGCUUCAAUUCCUAAAUGUAGCUUCUGAAAGGGUUUCCAUAUUGACGAAGUUGAAAACUUUAAAUCUUGGGUCCAGCAGACGCUUCAAUCUUUUCGACAAUCAGUUAUCAUGGCCAUUUCCUGCUCAAGGUAUGUGCUAUGACUGUAGAUUGUUAGUAUAUCCCACAUUGCAUUCAAGGUCCAUAAAUGUCUAUAUGUGUUGGAGUCCCCCUUCUCUCCAUAAGGGCUCUUUUGGAGAGUAAACCAAGGACCACAUAUGUACAUGUACUUGAAGAGUUGUACUUCUAAAGUUGUUGGAGUAUCAAUAUUAGAUGCAUGAGAACCUUAUAGUGUUUGUUGGAUGUUGUCAUAUCUAUGUGUGAACUUUAUUCAUUUAGAAUUAUAAGUGUUUUGGUUUUAUUAACUAAAUUAACAAUGAGAUACAAGGUGAAAUUGAGGGUAUGGAUGACAAUGGGACGAGUAUUGAUGAUCCCAAUCCCAUACUUGAUUAUAAAAUUGUGUCCCAGACUUGAUCACCCGGUCAGUAAACACCCAUCUGGUUUGUGGUUAUACUCAUAACCGCACCCAUUUAUGAUCUUAAUAAGUUAAAUCGUUGGGAUUUUUAUUACCUAAAACACAAAAACAGUGGCAUCCAAAAAAAUGACUUUGAAUUUGUAAUAAUUUUAAUUUCCAACAACAUCAACAAAUUUAAUCUCAAAAAAUGUUACAUAUAUAUAAUCAUCACCAUAUAAAAUUUAUAAUAUUUAUAAUUUUAGUUUUGCUAAAACUUAGCAUCAACAACAAGCCUUAUAGUUAUGACUUAUGACCAUCUUUUUAGAACAUUUGUAGUUAUCAUUUAGAGUAAAUUACAUAAAUAGUCCUUGUGGUUUAGUUAGAAUUGUAGGUUCGGUUCAACCUUUGAAAAAGUUGACAGAUCGUGUCUUUUUGGUUUCAAAAAAAUUUGCAAUAUCCAUCCCCGAUCCAUAUAAAAAGACUAUUAUAUCAUUUAUAAUAUAUUUUUUUUCAUUUUCUUUUUUUAUUUAUAAUUCUAAUAAUGUAAAACUAAGAGAGGACCCACACACUACCACCCCAUCCUAUACCCCCGCCCCUACACCAACCCCAUCAUCUUCUUACUCCUCUCUCUCCUUCACUGCCUCCCCUACCCCUUCCUUGUUCCUAUGACAAAAUUGAAACUCAUCUCCUGUAAUCAAAACAAUAAAAUCAAAACUUUAGUUCAUUAAUAAUGAUUAUCUAUCCAUUUUGAUGUCAAUCUCUUCGAUAUAAACUUCCAUUCUUACCAUGAAAAGAACUUAAAAAAUCCCCAAUCAUGGCAACUCUGUUUGUUGUUCUAGCUCAUCUGGUAGAAACUAAUGGCUCAAUUUUUUUGCACUAUUUAGAUUCAUGUUUUUCAGUUGAAAAAAAGAAGCAAGCAUAAAAUGUUAGUGUAUCUCAUAUUAGUACGACAUGAUUCAUUAUGUCUAUAUAUAUGUUGAACUCUCCCUUUCUCCACAAGGACUCUUUUGGAGAGUUAACUAAGAACUCCACGUAUAUCUUAUAUGUUAGUGUAUCACAUUCAGUGCGGUACGAUUAAUAUGAUUAAUAGAUAAGUAGGCCCCCCACCACCAACAACAACCACCCCUUGCUAAAACAACCGACAACCACUAUCACCACCGAAUCAGUUUGGCUACCAUAUACCACUAAAAUAGAUAAAGCAUUUUUCAAGGUUCUAAAUUGCAUGAUCUAUGGCGUGCCAGCAAGGUCAUGCCUCAAGUUUUACAAACCAUAACAAGUCAUGACGUUUUUCAAUACGUGACUUAAGGCGACAAUUUUGUAUAUAUAUAAAAAAUACAUAGUUAUAGAUUUUUAUAAAAUAUACCAAGUGUUUAGAAGAUUUAUAUCCACACCUAAUAAAAAAAAGUUAACAAAAACUCAAUGAUUUCGUGUCCGUAGAGAAAAAAAAAGAAAAAAAGAAAAAAAAAUACAUGCCUUGAAAAAAAAAACUCGCACCUUGAUGCGCCUUGGCAGGCGCCACGCCUAACUUCGCUACCUGAAGGUUUUCGAGACGGCGUAACCACGCCUUGACAUCAUGGCGUGCCUUUUAGAAACCUGCAUUUUUACACAUUACAUGUUCAUAUUCAUGGAAAUGUGUAAAUUUGUGUAAUAAACUUACACGUAUAACAGUUUACAGAAUCUAGUCUUAUAAGGUUUACAAAUACAAACAUGAUUAUAAAAUAUUAGAAGCCCACAAAUUUACUUAUCUAACGAGUCUUCUUUGUUUCAUCCUCAUUCAAUAUUGAUUGACAAAAACAAAGUGAUUGUUCCUCUGUUAACCCCAUCCUCUUUCAUAACAUGCAUUUUGCUAAAAUGUACAUCUAAAAAUUUGCCUGAAUAUAUAAUUGUGUGUGUGUGUGAGAGAGAGAGAGAGAGUGUGUGUGUGUGUGUGUGUGUGUGUUCUUAUUUCUUCAACUCAUGAAUCAAUACAGACUACAAGCUACGAUACAUAGACAGAAGAAACAAAUAUAACUGAACAAUUAACAAAAUUACAAAAAUGCCCCUUCUAACAAAAAACGUUCUAACUAACUCUAACUGAUCUUGUUAGUUAACAAGAAUACAUGAUAUAUGUUUUCAUUGGUAUGACAGCAUUAUCACAUCUGACGAACCUCGAGGAGCUAGAUUUAAGCUAUAGAAGGCUCGUGGGCACACCCAAUAUCCAAGGUAUACUGAUAUUUAGCUUAUCUUAGGUCCUAGCUAAGAUAACUUGUGAAUAGUUCAAAGAUAAAGUUCUUGAAUGCUAGUGAAUCCUAAAUUAUUCCAUUAUCACAAACUUUACAAGACCAUGGUUUCUCUAAGAAUUACCUUCCUUUUUGCAGCUUGUAGUAGCUUAUCGAGAUUGAAAAGGCUGGAGAGUAUAAAUCUUUCUGGCAACGAUUUCAACAAGAGUAUCAUAUCAUGCCUAACUGCCCUUCCAUCCCUCAAGAUUCUUGAUCUUUCCUGGUCUAUCACUUCAUUGCGAAGUUCAUUUCCCGUCAAAGGUAUGUUUAAUCUAAAUGAGUCACCAUUAAAGAAACUAAAAGAAUAAAUUUUAUCUUAGCUAUUAUUAUUAUUAUUAUUAUUAUUAUUAAUAUUUUCGUUGUUUCUGAUAGUCACCUUAUUAAAUUGUUUGACAUAUCUCUUUAUUUAAUUUAGAAUUUGUCAAAUUGCCUGAUUUGGAAGUCCUCCUCUUGAUAGGAAAUAGUUUUAAUGGAACACUACCAAUGGAAGGUAGCGCCUUUUCUUCAUUCCUUAAUUCAAAACAAUAUUAUUGUUUUCAACGCAUCCCGGAUAUGAAAAGCCCCACAGCUUCAACCAUCAAUAAUACAUGAUUUUUAACAAAUCCUUUGUUUAGUAACCCUCCAUUGUUUUCAUCCAGCUUUUGCAUCUUUUCACCAUCUGGAGGUCUUAGAUUUGAGUGGCAACUGGUUUGUUGGGAGCGUCCCAUCAGCAAUACAGGCAUUAUCUUCCCUAAGAGCUCUCUCAUUUGCUCGCAAUAAGCUAAACGGAUCAUUACCGGAUCAUGGUAAGUUAUCUAAAGAAUGAACAAUUAAGUGUUUAGAUUGUUUAAAUUAGAUGUACAAACACAAUGUUCUUACAAUAUGGCUAAAUAGGUGCACACCUUUUGUUAAAUUGCCUUUCCCCAAUAGUUAAUCUUUUUGAAGCCGUAUGAUCAUCAAAGUGCAAGUCACUAUAUUAUUUUAAAGGGUGAACCACACUUUUCUUUUUUGGCAGGUUUCUCUAAUUUGAAGAACCUCCAUGAGUUGGAUCUUAGUGGCAACAUGCUCCAUGGAACUCUGCCUCAAUGUUUCAACAAUCUAUCAUCUCUGAGGUUCCUGGAUAUCUCUUCAAAUCAAUUCACAGGGACACUUGUGCCAUCACUCUUUGCUAAUCUCACAUCUCUCGAGUACGUUGAUUUUAGUCAUAACACAUUUGAAGGUUCAUUCUCGUUCAGCUCCUUCGCCAAUCAUUCAAAGCUUGAGGUAAUUCGAUUUUCAAGCGACAAUGACAAAUUUGAGGUGGAAACAGAAGAGCCUAUAGGCUGGAUUCCAUUGUUCCAGUUGGAAAUUCUUGAGCUAUCAAAUUGCUAUAUGAACAAGACCAAAGGACGUGUUAUUCCUGGGUUUCUACUUCACCAGCACAAGUUACGGGAACUAGACAUGUCUCACAACUCCUUGGAGGGACAAUUUCCAAAUUGGUUGAUUAAAAAUAAUAUGAAUCUGGAAGUUCUUAUUCUAAGGAACAACUUGUUUGGCGGUAAGCCGCUGUAUAGGAAUGCUAAUAUGAAGUGGUUGGAUAUGUCUGGAAAUAGCAUGAUAGGUACUAUUCCUGAAAAUAUACCAAAUUUCUUUCCCAACAUAAGUAAUCUGAAUUUUUCCAUGAAUGCUUUAACUGGUGUUAUUCCAUCCUCAAUUGGUAAAUUUAGUAAAUUAUUGGCACUGGAUUUAUCUGACAAUAAGUUAUCAGGAGAAGUACCAAGCGGAUUGUUUACAAAAAUUUCUACUUUGAUGAUCUUAAAACUAUCAAGGAACAAAUUGCACGGGGAGGUACUCUCAGUUAACUUAAGCUGGGGUAUCCUCAAUUCGGUUUACUUAGAUAGCAACCAUUUCACAGGGAAAUUUGGAAAUAAGAGCAGCAAGGAAAACUUUGACUCUCUGACCAGUCUGGAUAUUAGCAAUAACUUGUUUACAGGUAUGAUCCCAGAUUGGAUAAGCAACAUGAGUAGGUUGACUGAACUUGUGGUGAGAAAUAAUAGUUUUGAAGGCAGGUUUCCUUGUGGACCAACUUUAUUCACUUUUCUCGAUAUCUCACAGAAUUCUUUCUCCGGACCCAUCCCGUCCUGUUUGAAUUUGCAAGACAUGGAGCAUCUUCUUUUGGGUUCCAACAGAUUCACUGGAUCGAUACCCAAUUUCUUUCGUAAUUUGACUAAUGUUUUGACUUUAGACAUGGGAGACAACGACUUGUCAGGUAGGAUUCCUAAAUUUAUUGGCGAACUAUCCGAUUUAAGGAUUCUUCUUUUGAGAAAAAAUAACUUUAGCGGUUCUAUUCCCAAGCAGUUGUGCCAGUUAAGUGACGUGGGUUUGUUAGAUUUAUCAUAUAACUCUCUUUCCGGUUCAAUACCUAGCUGCCUACAGAAUAUCACCGGGACUGGCACAGGUUACUUUGAUUUCUUAAAAACAACCCUACUACAGAUUAUCCUUUCUUCCUCUUACCAUUAUGGGAGUAUUCUGCAGGAUUCGGAUUCUACCAAUGUCGGUGUUAGAUCAUUUAGAACACAAGUCGAAGUUGAGUUUACAACAAAAAAGCUCCUUCUCCACUACAAGGGUGACAUCCUUAAUUACAUGACCGGAUUGGAUUUAUCCGGUAACAAACUUACAGGUGAAAUUCCAGAAGAACUAGGGUCGUUGACUCAACUUCGUGCUUUAAACCUGUCUCACAAUCAGCUUACAGGACCCAUUCCAGUGAACUUUUCAAAUCUUGCUAAUAUAGAGAGCUUGGACCUUUCUUCAAAUGGUUUGACCGGCACAGUUCCAUCAUAACUCAUUAAGCUUUCCUCUCUAUCUACUUUCAAUGUUUCUCACAACAAUCUCUCAGGCAGACUCCCAGAAAUGAAAGCACAGUUUGGUACCUUCACAGAGGCAAGCUAUGGAGAGAAUCCACUUCUUUGUGGCCCACCAGUGGAGAAGAAAUGCAUGACUACUAAUUCACAGGUAAUAGAUCCACGAGUUGAAGAAGACAAUGAGAAAUGGUAUGGUAUCGAUAUGACAUGCUUUUAUGCAAGUUCUGGUUCGACGUGUUUUGUGUUCUUAUUGGGAUUUGUUGCACUUCUUUACAUCAA